GACGAACGCUGGCGGCGCGCCUAACACAUGCAAGUCGAGCGGGGUUUAGUAGCAAUACUAGACUUAGCGGCGGACGGGUGAGUAACGCGUGGGCAAUCUGCCUCGUAGAUGGGGAUAACACAGAGAAAUUUGUGCUAAUACCGAAUAAACCGACAGUACCGCAUGGUACAAUCGGCAAAGGAGCAAUCCGCUACAAGAUGAGCCCGCGUCUGAUUAGCUAGUUGGUGGGGUAAAGCCUACCAAGGCGACGAUCAGUAGCCGAACUGAGAGGUUGAUCGGCCACAUUGGGACUGAGACACGGCCCAGACUCCUACGGGAGGCUG
rnacentral:rRNA from 1 species